AAUAAGCACCGGCUAACUCUGUGCCAGCAGCCGCGGUAAUACAGAGGGUGCAAGCGUUAAUCGGAUUUACUGGGCGUAAAGCGCGCGUAGGUGGCCAAUUAAGUCAGAAUGUGAAAUCCCCGAGCUUAACUUAGGGAAUUGCAUUCGAUACUGGUUGGCUAGAGUAUGGGAGAGGAUGGUAGAAUUCCAGGUGUAGCGGUGAAAUGCGUAGAGAUCUGGAGGAAUACCGAUGGCGAAGGCAGCCAUCUGGCCUAAUACUGACACUGAGGUGCGAAAGCAUGGGGAGCAAACAGGAUUAGAUACCCUGGUAGUCCAUGCCGUAAACGAUGUCUACUAGCCGUUGGGGCCUUUGANGCUUUAGUGGCGCAGCUAACGCGAUAAGUAGACCGCCUGGGGAGUACGGUCGCAAGACUAAAACUCANAUGAAUUGACGGGGGCCCGCACAAGCGGUGGAGCAUGUGGUUUAAUUCGAUGC
rnacentral:rRNA from 1 species